UACCCGCAGCACAAGUGGUGGUCAUUAUUAUUGGGCCUAAAGCGUCCGUAGCUGGCUUGUUAGAUGCCUGGGUAAAUCGAUGCGCUCAACGCAUCGAACUCCGGGUAGACCGGCAAGCUUGGGACCGGGAGAGGCGUGAGCUACUCGAGGGGUAGGGGUAAAAUCCUGUAAUCCUUCGGGGAGGACCAGUGGCGAAGGCGUCACGCUAGAACGGCUCCGACAGUGAGGGACGAAGCCCUGGGGCGCAAACCGG
rnacentral:rRNA from 2 species